GAAUGUGAGGAUGAACUGUCUGCUACCUCGGUCACCAGAGUUGAUUCUUGAACUGGCUGGGCUGUGGGGGGUGUCCCUCCCCUCCCUCAUGGUUCCAUGUGUGUCCCUCUGAAGCAUGGUUGAAAAAACAAGGACCUUCUCCAAAUAGAGGAGGACUGGUCCUCAGACAAGGGUAAGAGUAGCUACACUCCCCUGCUAGAGCCUCCUAACAAGCUCUCAAAUGUCAAGCAGAAAAGAACAGAAACUUGAUCAGACCUCCUAGAGUCGGCUUACUCA
ensembl:misc_RNA Gm23218 predicted gene, 23218